AUGAAAUUGAGAAUGGAAAUGGGGAAUGUGCCAAAGAGACAACAACCCGACCAUAGAAAAAAACAACAGCAGAAGGUCACUAACAGGUCUUCAAUGUAGCGAGAAAUUCCCGCACCCGGAGGCGUCCUUCAACUGGCCCCUAAACAAAUAUAUACUAGUUCAGUGAUAAUGAACGCCAUACUAAUUUCCAAAUUGUACACAAGAAACUAAGACCGAGUAAGGCUAAUUUGAGGGGUGGUCGGAGGGAUCCUGAUCCUAAAUCCCGGGCUUAUAACCAUGAAAUCCCGAGAUGCAGAAUUUAAAGAAAUUCAUAUCCCGAAAUCGAAAAAUAUAUUCCCUGAUCCCGUAAGGAUCAAUCCCGAAAUUUCCGAGUUUAAAAACACCCGAUCCCGACGCCCC
rnacentral:lncRNA from 1 species